rnacentral:lncRNA from 10 species
UCCUUUCUACUUCAUCUGGGAUGACAGAUAGCUUUUCUCCAGCCUGCCAGUUCUACUCUGUUGUACUGCAUUGCUAUAUUGUGAAUUCAGCGGAUUCAGCAAAGCAAACAAGAGUGCGGUGAUCAACUUGUAAUGUCUGCCAUGGACACUGGAUAGAGGAGUAACAGUAUGUGUGCUUAUGGAAAAACCUCUCCAACUUACAUCAUAGUGAGCACAGGUUUAGGAGCAGAACUAGAAAGAAAAUAUUUUUUUCUGUCUGUCUAGCAACUGUUGGCCUGAAAAAGAACUCAGUGUCAGAAUGGUCAGGAAGGCCCAGCCUUCCUACUGUCAGGGUGUCUAGCCGGGGCUAGGUCUCUCUGUCCUCACCCCUUUGCCUUCCCAAGGUAGGGAAGGUGUAGAAAAUCCAGUUGGGAAUUUCUGGUAGAAACUUCUACUCCUGGUGCCAAUUUCUACCAGUCAGCUACCCUGUAAACUUCUAUCAGGCAUACAAGCCUUGGGAAACAGAGAGCUGUUGUCUUGCUCAAGCACAAGUUACCAGCAACAAACAUUUGUUUCCCAGCAGAUCACAUGAGGACUUGUGAGAUCAUGUCUGGCCCUGGCUCAAAUAGAAGAUGUUCCAUUAAAGCAGUUCCCGGGGACCAGGCCUAGGCAACUUUCCUAGGAUGGGCAAGGCAGUUGUUCGGGAAGCUUGGCACCUGCACAGCCCCAUUGUCAUGUGAGGAAACGAAGGGUGUGAGCUUUCCCCCACCUGUCCACUUAGAAGCGUGGGUCAAAGCAGAGAAGAGGGGAUAUCUCCUUCCCAUCUGCCCUUGUCCUCCCACCCCACCCAGGCUGAGGUGCCUCCUAC